CUACGGGUCGCAGCAGUGGGGAAUAUUGGACAAUGGGGGAAACCCUGAUCCAGCAAUGCCGCGUGUGUGAAGAAGGCCUGCGGGUUGUAAAGCACUUUCGGUUGGGAGGACUGCUUCUAGCACUAAUAUUGUUGGAAGUUGACGUUACCUUCAGAAGAAGCACCGGCUAACUCCGUGCCAGCAGCCGCGGUACUACGGAGGGUGCAAGCGUUAAUCGGAAUUACUGGGCGUAAAGCGCGCGUAGGCGGCUAGAUCAGUCGGGUGUGAAAGCCCCGGGCUUAACCUGGGAACUGCAUCCGAUACUGUCUAGCUGGAGUACAGGAGAGGAGAGUGGAGUUCCACAUGUAGCGGUGAAAUGCGUAGAUAUGUGGAGGAACACCAAUGGCGAAGGCAGCUCUCUGGCCUGAUACUGACGCUGAGGUGCGAAAGCGUGGGGAGCAAACAGGAUUAGAUACCCGCGUAGUC
rnacentral:rRNA from 1 species